CCUACGGGAGGCAGCAGUGAGGAAUAUUGGUCAAUGGACGGAAGUCUGAACCAGCCAUGCCGCGUGAAGGAUGACGGCUCUAUGAGUUGUAAACUGCUUUUGUACGAGGAUAAAAUUCAGUACGUGUACUGAGCUGAAAGUACCGUAUGAAUAAGGAUCGGCUAACUCCGUGCCAGCAGCCGCGGUAAUACGGAGGAUCCAAGCGUUAUCCGGAUUUAUUGGGUUUAAAGGGUGCGUAGGCGGGUUGUUAAGUCAGGGGUGAAAUGUGCGGGCUUAACCCCAGAAGUGCAGUUGAUACUGGGGACCUGGAGAGCAGAGGAGGUAGGCGGAAUGUGUGGUGUAGCGGUGAAAUGCUUAGAGAUCGCGCAGAACACCGAUUGCGAAGGCAGCUUGCCGAUCUGUAACUGACGCUGAGGCACGAAAGCGUGGGGAGCAAACAGGAUUAGAUACCCCGGUAGUC
rnacentral:rRNA from 1 species